rnacentral:rRNA from 1 species
CGAAGGACCCGAGCGUUAUCCGGAUUUAUUGGGUUUAAAGGGUGCGUAGGCGGAUUUACAAGUCAGUGGUGAAAUCUCCCAGCUCAACUGGGAAACUGCCAUUGAAACUGUUUAUCUUGAGUACAUUUGAGGCGGGCGGAAUGUGUCAUGUAGAGGUGAAAUUCUUAGAUAUGACACAGAACACCAAUUGCGAAGGCAGCUCGCUAAACUGUAACUGACGCUGAGGCACGAAAGCGUGGGGAUCAAACAGGAUUAGAUACCCUGGUAGUCCACGCCCUAAACGAUGAUUACUCGAAGUGUGCGAUACACUGCACGCCUCUGAGCGAAAGCAUUAAGUAAUCCACCUGGGAAGUACGGACGCAAGUCUG